UGGGGAAUAUUGGACAAUGGGCGCAAGCCUGAUCCAGCCAUGCCGCGUGUGUGAAGAAGGCCUUCGGGUUGUAAAGCACUUUAAGCGAGGAGGAAGGGCACUUAAUUAAUACUUGAGUGCAUUGACGUUACUCGCAGAAUAAGCACCGGCUAACUCUGUGCCAGCAGCCGCGGUAAUACAGAGGGUGCAAGCGUUAAUCGGAAUUACUGGGCGUAAAGCGCGCGUAGGCGGUUUCGUAAGUUGGAUGUGAAAUCCCCGGGCUCAACCUGGGAAUUGCAUUCAAAACUGCGAGGCUAGAGUGUGGGAGAGGAUGGUAGAAUUCCAGGUGUAGCGGUGAAAUGCGUAGAGAUCUGGAGGAAUACCGAUGGCGAAGGCAGCCAUCUGGCCUAACACUGACGCU
rnacentral:rRNA from 1 species